GGAGGAGGAAGAGGUGGCGGACGAUGGGAAGACCGCGGCCUUCGCCAGGGAUGGUGUGACCGCCCUCGCGAGGACCACUGGCAGGAUUAGCCUCACGAGGAAGGCUGGAGGGACCAGCCUCGUGAGGGCCACCCGAACGGCAACGCAGGACUCCCUCCUUUGCUGCCUCCACCAAGGAGGAACGAAGACCAACACCAAGACGAUGGGGCUGGGGGCUUCCAAGAGCCGCGUGCAAUUGCUUGCAUCUUGGGCGGCGCCUAGGCCCCAGCUUCACAGCGCAUCUUCAAGCAGUUUGCUCGCGAGGUGAAUGCAGUCCUUCCCAAGCUUGAGGCCACGCGCCCUCUCAGGUGGUCUUCGUGCACGAUCACAUUCAGUUCCGCAGACCAGCUCAAGUGUGCGGCAACGACCGGAGUCCUCCCGAUGCUUUGCUCCCCAGUCAUCAGCAACGUGUAGGUCACCAGGACCCUCAUCGAUGGCGGGGCAGGACUCAACAUCCUGUCCGUCGAGACGUUCGACAAUCUCCAAGUGUCGUACGACCAGCUUCAGCCGACCAAGCCUUUCUCAAGAGUCACCGAUGGUUCCACUGUUCCAAUUGGGCAGGUUCGCCUUCCGGUCACCUUCGGGCAAUGCAACAACUACCGCACCGAGCUCAUCGACUUCGACAUCACUCACAUCCGCCUGCCGUACAACGUCAUUCUCGGGUACCCAGCCCUAGCCAAGUUCAUGGAAGUGACUCACCAUGGUUACAAUGUCCUCAAGAUGCCAGGAAGCGGUGGAGUCAUCACCGUACCCUGUGAAGAAAGGAACGCAGUGUGCUCGCUCGAGCGUGCGUUCCAAGCCGCAGCAAUCGAAGACCCAGAUCGCAGGAGCGAGAGGCCUCCCGAGGCGACCCUCAAGAAGAAGAAGGCCUCACCUGGCCCGAGCCACAAGGAAGAAGGCACCUCCGGAGAUAUUGCAUCAGGAUUCGCGCCUGAUCAGGGAGCGCCGCCCUCUCGCGCAUAGGAAGGCGCGCCCGGCGCCCUCCUCAGGCAGGGCUCGGGGGCUCUCUCUUGGAGAGCCGCCGACCUUGCCAAGGUCGCGGGGGAGGCGCUCGGGCACCACCUGGAGGGGUGCUUUCGAGCACGCUUCCCUCAGGAAGGUACAAGUCAAAGGAGACCAAACCCCCAGGAGUUCAUCACAAGGAACACCCAUGAGCUACAAGAGUCCAGAGUCAUGCGCGGCAGCCGCCGCUUACCUGUCGUGGCCCCACAUCCGGGCGAGGAUGGAGGACUGCGCGUCUGCGUCGACGUAUCAGGGUUCAACCGAGCUGCAUCCUAGGAGCGCCUAUGGCCUUCGGCCGUAGGGCGCUGCGUGGGACCACCUCACAGCUAAGUUCGCAUGCCCUUCGGCCUGCCGAGCGCGGUCGCCACACAUCAGCGCCUGUUGAGGAGCAUUCAGGAGGCUCAGGAGGUCAGGCAUCGCGCGGUCCUGGCGAAGGUGGUGAUUGUCCCUGAAGACCUGCACGUGCCGCCGGAGCCUCCCGAGGCCCCUGGGCCUGGGGGCUCAUGAGGGCCGACGUCUUCACCGCGCAUCAAUCACUUUCUCAGCAUCACUUCAUCUUCAACAGCACCAGGUGACAUCUUUCAGAGUUCUACUUUUAGCUGGGAGCGCCCACAGGGCCGCACCAUUCCCAAGCCGCGUGGGUCCGUCCCCGCGGCAUGUAUCCAUUUUGUUUAUACUCUUUACUUACCUUGUUGGGGGCGCCCCUCGGGCUGCAUCAUCCCCACACCACUCGGGCCUGACCCAGCGGCAGUUGCUUUUCCAGCAUUUACCCUAGGAUGAAGUUGUUCUUUCACGCUUAAUAUGAUUCCCAUAAUUAUCACCUACUGCUUGUCGUCAUGCAAAGCGCUUGCACGUUAAAAGGGGGGCGCCUGAGCAUCGUGACUCAUGGGCUCUUACUGGCUCUCCAGCCCUCACCCCCUGGCCUUGACCCACGGCAUCGCGACCUGUCAUACCAGCGGCGGCUGAGUUCGCUCGGGGGCCGGGACCUGAGGACAUAGAGCAUUUGCAUUCUAACAACCCUGCAGGAACACACCAAUUGAUAAAGGCCCAGAGCCAGGCGCAACCCGCCUCGAGGUAGGGCCUCGUGAUUCCCACGCUGGCUCACGGGUGUCCAGAUACACCUCUCCUAGCCCUACCAUGCCAACCACGUGUCCCGGCGGGGCUGUACACGCCCCGGGGGCUCCUCCCGGAGGGGAGCCCCCUCCCACGCACCAGUGGAAGCACCAUGCUCCGCGCUGGUUGAGGACACUGCCGAGGAGUGGCUAUGCCCGUACACAUACGAAAGCGCUAUGAUCCACGCUGGUGAUAAACAACUGAGGGCGGCCCACGGCCGUACCAACCUCAGGGAGCCCAGAGCUCAGUGUCCGGCACCAUCGCAACGCCUCCCCUCGGGAGUGCCGCGCGAGGGGGCUGGACACGGGGGCUACGUCCGGGCCUCGCUCGAGCGCACGCCACCCAGCCAGGUCCCUUGGACCUGGUUGUCCCGCGCCACUCCCCGAGCGGAGCCAAGGUACGAAACCCGUUUGAGCGUCUAGGGGGACUCCUGAGCAUCGCGACUCAGGAGCCUAACUUACCACGUAGCCCCUUACUCCUUAGUCCCGUCCUUGGUUUCCGGUCGGGGCUAACGCUGGGUGAGGUAUGCGCGGGGCCGGGCCCUGCCGACGCAGAACGAUCAAUCCACUCCUCGCUCCCCCCUUCCCUACUUGUUGCUCGCGCGUCAAGGGGGACUCCUGAGCAUCGCGACUCAGGAGCCUAACUUGCCACGUAGCCCCUCACUCCUUAGUCCCGUCCUUGGUUUCUGGUCGGGGCUAACACUGGGUGAGGUACACGCGGGGCCGGGCCCUGCCGACGUAGAGCGUAAGCAAGUAGGAGAGAAAAAUGCAAAUUCCGGGAAAUUCAAAGCAAAUAUUACAAGCCAUAAGAUUGUUCCACAAUGCCAAACACAAGUUUUAACGCCUCCGCGAGGCAUGGUGCAUGUGCAGGAAUAAAACAGGAUGGAAGUCGCGAAGGGAUCACUCCCCAGUAACGCCGUCACUGGUGGUGGAGUCACGCUGGACGGCUUCGCCUCUCGAGGUCGCAAGGCCCGCGGCACCGCGCCCGGGCAGGACGCUGGGGGAGCGGAACUUCCCCAGCAAAACCUCGGCUCGGCCCCUCACGGCCUCAGCGGCGGCAGCGGCACGGUCGCUGCUCACGGGCUCCAGCAGGCUGUCGAAGUCGACUUUGGGGUCGCGCGGGUAGACAUGGCUGAGGACAUGCGUCAGCGCCGCAGAAGAUAGGGCACGCGCCUCGGCCUCGACUGUGGGGCCAAGGCCGUCUGCGACGUCCUCAAGCGCAUCAAUGAGGAAGGGGAGCAGCUUGGCGGGGCCGUCCUCCGCACCAGCCAACGGCUCCUCCAGGCCGCUCUCAUACAGCAUCCUCAGUAUGCCUCGAGCCUUCUUCUCCAGCUCCGCGAAGGCCACCCGGUCCUCCGUCAGGACCUUCGCCUUGGCGUCCAGCUCGGUCCUCUCCGCCUUUAGCGACUGCUCCAGCACCUCCAAUCGGCGAUGGCAGUUAUCAAGCUUGGCGUCCCGGUCCUUGGCGGCGGCCUCCCUAGCCUUCAUCUCUUUCUCCUUCUCCUGGCGGCUGCGCACCUCCUUGACGAGCUCGUCGCGCAGGCCUUGCAGCUCGGCCUCAAGCGCCUUGCAGCGGCCCUGGGCAGUUGCAACGUCGCCCAGGGCAGCAUCGCGAGCGGCCUUGGCUUGGUUGGCGGCCCGCCUCUCCUCGUCAGAGGACGACACGGCCUGGCUCAACACCGCUCGGACGGAGGCAGCAGAACUAGCCCAGCCAGUGGCCAACUCCAGCGCCCAGCCACCAGACGAGGGUCCACGCUCAGGAGAUCCUCCCGCAAUUGGCUCAGCUCAUUGGCAACCUGGUCCAGGACAGCGGCGGAGGGAGCAGAAGAGACAAGAACCUAUGGAGUAGGCGGAGAAGAUGGCAGCGUGACCACGGCUUGGCAGGAAGGGACCUCCUGAGCCUUGGCCGCUACGGCCGCAGCGUCGGGCAUAGUCGACUCCAGGUCCAGCGGGGCCACGGGGGCUGACUCCUCGCCGGGGUGCCCCAGUUGGCCUCGCGAGGGCGGUUGGGUCGGAGAGGCGCGGGCCUCACUGUCCUCUCCCCCAACAGCCGAAGGCGUCGCCCCGGCAGACGGAUUCGCCCCAAGCAGCGCCGCAGAAGCCUCCUUCAACCUCUUGGCCGCAGGUGCCGGCCUGGUAAAAGAGCGCAAACGUCAAGGCUCAGCGGCAGAAACCAAGCAGAGCACGAAUCGAGCACUUAUUGGACGUCGUCUGUGGACUCAAGCAACCUCUGGCCAAACUUGAAGCCCGAGAGCCUGCAGCGGGGGUCAGCCUUGGGGGGCCCGGAAGCAGAAGGCGCGUCAGGAGGGAUGGAGCUGGCCUUGGACCCCCCAGGGACCAUAGCAGACCCUGGGGGAACCAGGCUCGACCUGCCCUUCCUCGUGACCGAGCAAGAGCCCUCCUUUCCUCGCCUGGCGCCGGCCUCGUCGUCGUCCGGCAUGGAGCGGAGGGCCUGGGACCUGCGCCGAGGGAAGGACUCCCCCAAUCCUCGCCAGUCUCCUCUGAGUCGAACGCUUCCUCCUCCGCCUCUUCUUCCUCAUCUCCCCUGCUGGAGCUGUCGGAGGACAAGUUCACCGUCGCCAAGACCGUCAGAUCUUCGGGAGCUGCCGCGGGCACCAGCCCCUCACCGUUGAAGGUGGGCAUGGCGUUCAUCACCUGCUCCCAGUCGUCACGAAGGAACAGGGGGACAGGGGCGCCCACCGGGCUCGCCACGUCUCCCCCAACCAAGAAAUGGAGGGCCGCAGCCAGAUCCUCGUCGGUCAGGGCCUCGGAGCUUAGGCGCAGGGUGACGUCUGCUCCUCCAAGCCUCCACAGUGGGAGCGGGUGCUCCUGGAGCGGAGCCACCCGGUGCUCCAAGAACUCCCUCAGGAGCGUGGCCCCGGUCAGCUUCGCCGCCUCCGAGUUGCUUGGCUUAGGUCCGUGUUCAUCCUCCUCAACACCGCCUUCGCGCGAGGGUCGACGAGCUCCACGCGGGACCAUGUGUCAACGGACUUAGGUUGCCCCGUGGGUAAUACCAGACGAGGGUGGAGGCGCCCGACAUCCAUCAUGACCCACUUGUUGGCGAACAUUGCAGAAAACAAAAAAAAUUCCUAUGGUUUCACCAAGAUCCAUCUAUGAGUUCAUCUAGCAACGAGUGAUCGGAUUGCAUCUACAUACCUUUGUAGAUCACGCGCGGAAGCGUUCAAAGAACGGGGAUGAGGAAGUCUUACUCGGCGUGAUCCAAAUCACCGUAGAUCCUAGCGCCGAACGGACGGCACCUCCGUGUUCAACACACGUACGGUCAGCGUGACGUCUCCUCCUUCUUGAUCCAGCAAGGGGGAAGGAGAGGUUGAUGAAGAUCCAGCAGCACGACGGCGUGGUGGUGGAUGCAAGGGUCACCGCAGCAGGGCUUCGCCGUUCUACUGCGAGAGGGAGAGGUGUAGCAAGGGAGAGGGAGGCGCCAAGACUCAAGGGUGCGGCUGCCCCUCCCUCCCCCCUUUAUAUAGGCUCCCCUAGGGGGGGCGCCGGCCCUAGAAGAUGGGAUCUCCUAGGGGGGCGGCGGCCAAGGGUGGAGUGCCCCCCAAGCCAGGUGGGGCGCCCCCCACCCUAGGGUUCCCAACCCUAGGCGCAUGGGGUGGGCCAAGGGGGGCGCACCAGCCCACUAUGGGCUGGUUCCCCUCCCCACUUUAGCCCAUGGGCCCCUCCGAGAUGGGUGGCCCCACCCGGUGGACCCCCAGGACCCUUCCGGUGGUCCCGGUACAAUACCGGUGACCCUCGAAACUCUCCCGAUGGCUGAAACUGCACUUCCUAUAUAUAAUUCUUCACCUCCGGACCAUUCCGGAACUCCUCGUGACGUCCGGGAUCUCAUUCGGGACUCCGAACAACUUUCGGGUUACUACAUAUUCAUAUCUCUACAACCCUAGCGUCACCAAACCUUAAGUGUGUAGACCCUACGGGUUCGGGAGACAUGUAGACAUGACCGAGAUGGCUCUCCGAUCAAUAACCAACAGCGGGAUCUGGAUACCCAUGUUGGCUCCCACAUGCUCCUCGAUGAUCUCAUCGGAUGAACCACGAUGUCGAGGAUUCAAGCAACCCCGUAUACAAUUCCCUUUGUCAAUCGGUAUGUUACUUGCCCGAGAUUCGAUCAUCGGUACCCCAAUACCUCGUUCAAUCUCGUUACCGGCAAGUCACUUUACUCGUACCGUAAUGCAUGAUCCCGUGACCAGACACUUGGUCACUUUGAGCUCAUUAUGAUGAUGCAUUACCGAGUGGGCCCAGAGAUACCUCUCCGUCAUACGGAGUGACAAAUCCCAGUCUUGAUCCGUGUCAACCCAACAGACACUUUCGGAGAUACCCAUCGUAUACCUUUAUAGUCACCCAGUUACGUUGUGAUGUUUGGUACACCCAAAGCACUCCUACGGUAUCCGGGAGUUACACGAUCUCAUGGUCUAAGGAAAAGAUACUUGACAUUGGAAAAACUCUAGCAAACGAACUAUACGAUCUUGUGCUAUGUUUAGGAUUGGGUCUUGUCAAUCAAAUCAUUCUCCUAAUGAUGUGAUCUCGUUAUCAAUGACAUCCAAUGUCCAUAGUCAGGAAACCAUGACUAUCUGUUGAUCAACAAGCUAGUUAACUAGAGGCUUACUAGGGACAUGUUGGUGUCUAAGUAUUCACGCAUGCAUUAUGAUUUCCGGAUAACACAAUUGUAGCAUGAAUAAAAGACAAUUAUCAUGAACAAGGAAAUAUAAUAAUAAUCCUUUUAUUAUUGCCUCUAGGGCAUAUUUCCAACACCACUUGCUCCGGUAGCCUUCAAUCCUCUUCCCAGGCUUCGAGAUGGCGUUGGAGCUGGAAUAUGCAAUGAAGCUCGCGCAUGCGAAGACCUGAGCACCAGAAACCCGGAGGGAGAAAAAGUGGCGCGGCAAGGCCACCGAGGGCUUCACACCAACAUGAGCCUCGCAAUAGUAGGCGAAAAUCGCCAGGAGAAGGACAGAAUUGGGGUGGAGAUGCAGAGCCUGCAAGUUGUAUUAGCGGAGAACGGCAUGGAAGAACUCAGAGAAAGGAGGCACCAGACCGGCGACAAUGGUGCUCACGAAGAACGGGUAGAAGGUGCUCCCCUUGCCCUCAGGCUGAUCAGAGCCGACCUUGAGCACAGUCGCCCCCUCGCUGUCAUGCGCCAUCGUCAUCAGGCGCGCGAGGGCGUGGUUCUUCUCUGACAAAUUCGGGGAAUCCAGGGCCGGUGAGUACCAAGCAUCAGCCGGGGACUUGCGAGGAGCCAUGGCGUGCCGGAUGCGAAGGAUUGAGAUGGAUCUGGAGGAUUUCGGGAGCAAGAGGAAGGAGAACGAGAAAGGGGAUCUAUGGCAAGACGGACGAGAGCGGGGCAAGUAAGCCUGGCCAGGGCACCCCCUUUUGUCAGUUGUGCAGUUGCCGAGGCGUCGUGGGAAGUGCAGACGCCCACGUCCAAUCAACCGCCACGCGGCGCCCAAGGCCGCAGGCUGUUAGGGUCCGCGACGCUUCAUGCUUGCCCCUUCGCUUCUCUGCUAAGCCAAGCCCGCGCGCGCCUUGGGCCCGGGGGCUACUGUCGGCGUUCUGGCAACGGGGGUCCCCAGACUUGCCUGCCUGCGGCCUGCGGUGUGGCUCAGGCAGGGGCCCAGCGCGGACCAUCUUCAUCAGCCCAAGCUCAAGACCCUCGCGAGGGGCCAAGCCUCGCGGGACGGACGACAGGAAGCUUCCUCAGAGGUAGCCUCAUCAGGCAGGCUCGCGAGGAGGCGGAGAGAACAAUGCAGGGGUACCUCGCGAGGAUCCCAUGACGCAAGCCAUGACGAUCGAGACCAGGCGGGCGCCGGCCUGUGCAGUGUCCUUGUUUCCCCUUUGGUACAAAGGGAGCAAGCACAGGCAAAGGUUGCCAUUCCGGUGCAACGAGACCAAGACCAGCCAGACGGCCGGACGGAGGUCACCGUGGAGCCCAAGACGGCGUCAUCACCCGUGCUUUUGGCAGCCGAAGACCACCUUUGGUCAGGAUAACUUGUACCAUAUGUUCCUCUUCAAAAUGGCCAAGUGUUGGCGCCCUUCCCGCUCAUCAUUUGGGGAGAGGCCCAGGGCCUCUAUAAAUAGAGCCAGUCUCCACAAAGGAGGGGGGGGGGGGAGAGAGAACCCAGUAGAGACUAAGUAGAACACACCGCACCAGCUCAAGAACACCCCUCGUGAGGCUGUUCUUCCCUUGUAUUGUUCAUCAUCAGCCCCAGAGGCAAUCCACCACACCACACACUGGAGUAGGGUAUUACACCACAACGGUGGCCUGAACCAGUAUAAACCCCGUGUCUCUUGUGUUGUUCAUCAUUUUCAGCUUAGUUCGCACGAGAGGAUCAGACGCAGAUCGGUAGGGGAGAGAUCUCCACGCGCAUCCCAGUGUUCGAACCUCAAGGGUCUGCCGGAACCCGAAAUCCGACAGUGGCGAUGACAAUAGCUUUCAGGUCCUAAAUUUUAUCCUAAAGGCAGCAGUGUCUUUGUUGGACUUGAGGCUGGUUGCUCCAAUGCCAUCAACACAGUGGAUAAGCUGCUUCCACUGGGUGCUGAAGCUGCUGGAGAGCCCAGUAAAAAUGGUGGGACUCCUGUUUAUAGCCUUCAAUGGAUGUUUCUCUUAUCUGGUUCUUUUCUCUAAUAUGUUGUUGUUUUAGAGAAAAGGGCCCAGCAAACUGCUGAUGGAGAAGGCCUGGCGCCUGGCGGUUAAGGCUGGCACGGUCCUUCAUCUAGAGGCGCAAGCUACAUUGCCGGUUGGCAUGGUGAAUUGUUGUUCUAUCUGUAUUUGAUGGCUGUCCUAAUGGUUGUUUGUUUCAGGGGACUUCCUUUAAGGAGGGUUCUGUUAAAUUACUUGUGGCCAUUGCAGCACUUGAAUAAGAACCGCAAGCUACGCCGCCUCCUACUGUCCUGGUUCGUUUUGCCCUUGUGCUCUGUUGGUCUGUUUGUAUUUAGCAGUUCUUAUAGUACUACAUAUUUGCUUCAGGAAAGUCCUCACAAAGAAGAUUCUGCUAAUGAGGGCAAGACUCUGGAAGCAUCUAAUGAUGAACCGUUGGCUUACCAUGGCCAGCAUUCAAGGAAAAAGGUUCUAGGAAAACACAUAUAUUUGUUUGGUAUCAAAGUGCUCUUAUAUUAUGGUACGGAGGGAGUACCAUCUAUCCAUUGAUGUUUUACGUGUGCUUUCUUGGUUACAAGGUUCUCCACCGAAACAGUUGUUCAGCCAGUGUUUUGCUUGUCAUAGUAUAUAGCUUACUUUGUUGGAAGGGCCUGUCUGUCUGCGUAGAUUCAUUAGGACAUAUGGUGAUGAAUGCUGAUUCAGAUUUGUUCCUACAAUGAAAGAUGAUACGUACUGCUGCUGUUUCUCCCCUGAUAUUAAUUGCUGAUUGUUGGGUGUUAUGGUUUGUUAGUCAGUAAAAUGUGCAAAAGGUAAGAACCAGCUGCUUACUUCAGGUAUGUGGAUGUACUGCCAGCUUUUGUUUGACGGUGAUUUCCGAUUAUAGCAAUAGCCUCAGGGAGUGUUGUUGGUCUAUGAUAAUAGAAAGGCCACAUUCAUGAUGAGGUUGGACACGUCAUCCGCAUUAUACGCUUUGCUUCCUGCUAUGAGAAUCAGGAUCGGCAUAGUACUUGACAAUGUGGGGACUAAUUUAAGGAACCGUGAUGUAAUGCGUGUGGAAGCAACGUGUAGAUCCGCCUGUUUCACCCUCAUCGCCACUGCGUUCCCUUGAUGGUCUGAUUUUUUAGAGUACCUGUGAUUGUUCGGUUUGAAAGUGUGGCGUUGGUGUUUAAUCAAGUGGCAACUGAAGGGAAAGUAAUAUGGUUAAACAGUACGUCCUCUGAGUUAGGCCUGAGUGCAAAAAAAGAAUGGUACUAGCAUUGGCAUAAACCUGAAGGUGCUGGAGUCCCUACUGCAUGGAAGCCACAUUUAACAGAAGAAACAAGUGAUAGAUUAGCACGCUAAAUAAACACAGAACGCAUCUAAAUACGACAAUAUACUCAUUAUAAGGCCGGAGGCUCUCUGCCCGAUCCAGGUUAGUACCACGAUCCAAUCAGGUGACAUAACCCAAACCAAAAACCGUGUGCUGACAGGCGUAUAUCGAGCCCCUGUUUCCCGCGCGCGGCGAAGCGCGCUUGUUCCUCUAGUUAGUAUAUCUGCUUGAUAGGUUUUAAUAACAUACAGUAUUGUGUCUUUUCUCCUAGUGUUUCAAUGCAGGUGCAGGUGCAGGUUGAUGAGUUUCCAGGGUAUAUUUAUGUUGUGCUAUAUCUUCAACUUGCAUGAUUUUCUUCGGGACUCCUUCCAAAUGUUUCCAUUCCUCCACCUGGACUCCCUUUUCUUGCUCCUGGACUGCGCCACGACGCCGACGGUGCUAUUCAGAGACACGUGGCAUCUGUCAAGUACGCCAACAUCCUUGUUUGACUCCCAAGAUGCCACGAGCCUGCCAUAAUUAAGGUAAGCGCUCAUCAUUUUCUCUUUGCCCUGGUAAGAGAUAGCUUUAUUGAUUAAGGUAAACAUGAUUACUACCUUUGCUAACUGAGCGAGUGCAAUCUACAACAAAUAGCACCACAAUGCAAGUAGAUAUGCAGCCAAUCGCUAGAACCUCGGAGAGCACCGUCCUUGUUUACUCAGCGAGUUCAGUAGCCUUCUUUUUUCCCCACUAAAUUAGCCGGUUGAAGUUGGUUCUGUUCUCUUAUUUUCUUGCAAUACCCUUAUAAAAGCUAUGCCUGAACCCAGAGAAGUUCUGGUGAAGAUUUAUAUGAUUGCCGAAAAUCUAUUGUCUGCAUGAUAGUUAUUAGCACUGAUUAGGAGAUGUUCCCUCGCAAAAAAAAAAAUUGUACUGACAGGAGAUGCUAAUCUAGCUGCAUCAGAAGCUGAACCAGACAUCAUCAUUAGUCAUAAUCAUAGAAUCUCUAUUGCACUGCCUGGUAAUUGACUGCAACUAUUACUUUUCCUCGUGGGUUUUGCAUUUAUUAUAUAUUUAGUUUGCGCAGUCAUGUGCUAUACGCCUAUACCCGUGGUUAGGCGUGAAAUAACGUAGCUGGCGUGGUUAGGCGUGAAGAAAUAGAAGAGCGUUUAGAUCCCUAUAUAGUACUUCCUUCGUAAAUUAAUAUAAGAGCGUUUAGAAUACUAAAAUAGUGAUCUAAACGCUGUUAUAUUAAUUUACAGAGGGAGUAUUUUGCAAAAAUAGCAUGCUGCACGGACUGAGAGUGAUGCUUCAUUUGCCACCCCAGGCGAUAUGUCCAAACGCAAACCAUCGCCGAAUCUUGUCUUCAGGCCAACAGGCCAUCAGGACCUGAAGUACCUCUACAUGAUACAAAAAUGCUUGCUUGGGUGUUGCCUACGGAUUGGCCUGUCGUGCUAUAGUGGGUUGUCAAGAGGUAUCUUUGCAGCUUAAGAUCUAGCGAGGCGUGGUGUGGCGCGGUACUUGAAAUUUCAUGAUGGUGCUGGGCAUCUACUAGUCCAGAUGAUGAGAUCUAUGCUCUCCAAAAGCAACUUUUACUGCACACGCUUUAAGGAGGCAACCGAAAGAGAGAUGCAUUUAGUAAUUUGCUCCUACAUACGGAUACCAUGCAUGCACGCGCUACAUUCAGAGAGAGUGACCCAAAUCUAAGGCUCUGUUUGGUUCAUAAGUCCUAGGACUUUUUCUAGUCCCAACUAAAAAGUCCCUAGUCCUUAAAAAGUCCCUCUCUGUUUGUUUCCAGAGACUAAAAAGUCCCUAGUCCCUCUCUAGAGGUUAUUAAAUGACCAUGUUACCCUAGUACAUAGAAAAAUAACAACCAAACAAUAUUAUGGGGUGGCGGGCCAAUGGAUGCAUGGAGGGGUAUUGUUGGAAAAGUCCCAAAAAAUCCCAAAAAGACUCUUCUUGAGAGUCUUCUUCAUUUAGCCCAAAAAACAACUUUUAGUCCCUAGUAGUCCCUCCCGUUUGGUUAAAAAGUCUCUAAGAGGGACUUUUUCUAGUCUCUGCACCAAAAAGUCCUUGGAAACAAACACCCCUAAGUCAUCACCUCCCAACUCUCCGUUCUCCCGCAAGGCCGACGGUGGAUCCUAGCGGCAUGGCGCCGCGGAGUUUCGGCGACGGGCGCGUGUGGAUGGAUACGUGCAGUAUGGUGGUGUUGUCUAACAUCGUGGUGGUGUCGACGACGGGCCUGGCAAAGUCGGUGUGUUAGUACCGUUCUGGAGAUGGAUCGGUGAAAGACGGCGGCGGCCUCUGAGGGUGCGCCGGUCCGGUGUGUGACCCAGUCCCGGCAUUGUGGCUUGGCUGGGUCAUCCGGUUUUAAAUGUUAGGCUUUGGUGCGAUGUUUGUUUGGUAUUUGGCUCAGACAUUCGACACCCCUUCAUUAAGUGAAUAUGAGUAGCGAUAAUUGUUGUCAAGAUGGUGGCUUCAGGCUUACUGAUGUACUCCCUCCGUUCCAAAUUACUCGUCACAGAAAUGGAUGUAUCUAGAACUAAAAUACAUCUAGAUACAUCCGUACUUGCGACAAAUAAUUCGAAACGGAAGGAGUAUUAAUUUGUAAGGUCUUCGUGAACAAAUGGUUGCAUGCAUCGUCCAAAUGCAAAGGUUGGGGGUAUAUCCUCCUUUCUAAAAAAACUCUGUUCUCCCUUCCUCUCGUCGCUCCUAGAGACGUGGCCAGGCUAAGGUCUGCUCCUGGUCGAUGAGAGCGGCGCCGGGGAGAUUUUUGUUGCGGCAGCCUUCGACAGUGAGAUGCGAUCUAUGUGCGGCGGCUUGAGGCAGAGGGGAUGGUUGUGCAGCGGGUAGUUGAUUUUCUGAUCGGGUAAACGAUCUCUAGUAUUGAGAUGCCAACUUUUACGAUCCCGUUUGCAGGUACGCGGGCGACAAUGAUGGCCUUCUACCGGCUUUGGUCGAUGAGAGCGAUGGUGGGGAGAUCUUUGCCCCAACAGCCUUCGGUGGUGAGAUGCGAUCUAUGUNNNNNNNNNNNNNNNNNNNNNNNNNNNNNNNNNNNNNNNNNNNNNNNNNNNNNNNNNNNNNNNNNNNNNNNNNNNNNNNNNNNNNNNNNNNNNNNNNNNNNNNNNNNNNNNNNNNNNNNNNNNNNNNNNNNNNNNNNNNNNNNNNNNNNNNNNNNNNNNNNNNNNNNNNNNNNNNNNNNNNNNNNNNNNNNNNNNNNNNNNNNNNNNNNNNNNNNNNNNNNNNNNNNNNNNNNNNNNNNNNNNNNNNNNNNNNNNNNNNNNNNNNNNNNNNNNNNNNNNNNNNNNNNNNNNNNNNNNNNNNNNNNNNNNNNNNNNNNNNNNNNNNNNNNNNNNNNNNNNNNNNNNNNNNNNNNNNNNNNNNNNNNNNNNNNNNNNNNNNNNNNNNNNNNNNNNNNNNUGAGGCAGAGGGGAUGGUUGUGCAGCGGGUAGUUGAUUUUUUGAUCGGGUCAACGAUCUCUAGUAUUGAGAUGCCAACUUUUACGAUCCCGUUUGAGGGUACGCGGGCGACAAUGAUGGCCUUCUACCGGCUUUGGUCGAUGAGAGCGAUGGUGGGGAGAUCUUUGCCCCAACAGCCUUCGGCGGUGAGAUGCGAUCUAUGUGCGGCGGUUUGAGGCAGAGGCGAUGGCUGUGCAUCACCGUCAGUUGAUUUUCUGGCCAAGUCGGCGAUCUCCAGUGUUGAGACUCCAAUGUUCACGAUCCCGUCUGCAGGUAUGCAGGGGACGAUGUUGGCCUGUUGUAGGUCAUAUGCUUGGGCGUGCAGGUAACAACGUGGUCUGCCGCGACGAGGGAUCUUGGAUCUUCAAAUCCGAUAGAAAUGACGAGUAUGUUUUGCCGACUGAUUAUGCCACCACAGACGAGGACGACAGAUCAUAAGGAUGGUGUGGGAUUAUAGGAGCGUCCCAAUAUGAGAUUUCAGCAGUGGUGACGACAACCUUCAUAGUUCGGAGCCUUUGGCGGCUCUUGCCGCGGCUUGACUGCUAGCUUGUCCGAGCAUGAUCUUCACUCAUGUCGUACCUCACGGAGAUACCAUGCUACGCACGUAGUUGUUGGGAUCACGAAAAGUGGCGGCGACAAUACAUGAUGACUUUAUUUUAGUGGUGCUUCUCAGUUACCGAUCUCGAGCUCCGGUGUGAAAACUCGAGGUCUGACCCUAAUUUGUUUAUAUCUGGCAAUGACGAUAUUUUUAUUGGGUCAUUACCUUGUUAAAGACAUUGUUUGGGCUUGAUCUUCGGGGUGAAAAUUCACAAUCUGACCUUCAAUGGUUGGAUAUGGCGACGACAAGAACCUUUCUCGACGUACUUGUGAUAUCAAAGAUGAUUGGUACAGAUAUGGUCGUGUUGUAGCUUGUUGAUCACUGUUUUAAUCAUUAUUUUUAAUCCAUCUAGGCAUAGCUUCGGUCUUGAAUGACUUUGUUAUUUGUCGGUGUGAUUUUUUUUGUAUACGCGUGUAUACAUGUGUUGGUGUUAGUUGUGAGCAUCUUAGUAGUGCAGAGACCGGAUGUGUACUCAUUGUAUUUGUAUACGUAGAUGCUUUACUUAAGUUAAUAUUAUCUUCGUCAAGAUACAUCCGUAUCUAAACAAAUCUCAUACAAGAAUUUUAGGACUGAGGGAGUAUAAAAUUCACUAUCUAUUAAAAAACUUGCAUGCGCUACAUUCAGAUGUAAAUCUUUCUCCUCGACCAGUAAUAACACCGCGAUUAACAACGUAGGAGCCGUUGCUUCAUGCCUACAACUACUACUGCUGCUACUUUGCAGUAGAUGUGGAUCCACACGUAUUAUUCCGAUCUCCGACAAAGUAUUCUUGUUCCGUUGCACGAACGUGGCCCCCAAACAAACGCCCGGCGCUCCCACCGAUCCGGCCGCGAGAUAUGCUGACGCCGCUGCGAAAUGUAUUUCCCAUCAGCUCGACGACGACGAGAUCGAUUUGUUAAUGCGGUACCGACACGCGGGGACAGGCCGGCUCGCCUAUGAUUCACGCAUGGAUGUACGGUACCCCUCCCGUGAAAAGGCUCAUGAAUUAUGGGCGAUGGAAGGAAUCGCCUGCCAGAGGGGAAGCAGCAGGCCGUCCGUCCGGCCAGCCCGGCAACACACGCGUGGGUGGGUUGAAGAGACCAGGCUGGAACCAUCAAUUCCCGCCGACGUACCUCCCCCACUUCGAUCGCCGUACCCGUACGUACCCAGCGCGCUGCGCUUGCAAGCGACGAUCUACGGUCACGGACCCUGGGUGACGAGCAGUAACUCGGAAGUGCAUGUGUUGUACUGCUAGUACUACUAGCAGUUAACCCUAGCAUCCGUAGCACCGUAAAGAAGAACCGGAAAAAUAACUCUAGCAUCCGUAGCACCGUAAAGAAGUGGAAUCGCUAUGGCACCGUAAACAAGUGGAAUAAUCUUGUCUACGAAUCUACUACCGGUGACCGAGGGCGACGUCCACCGAAAAGCUGGUGGUGCGUUCCGUGGGAUUCCAGGCCGGCGAAAGAUGAGACGGGAAUAGAAACAAUUCCAGAUUUCCGGCCGAUCUAAGUAGGCGACAGACCACGCGCAGCUGGAUGUCAAAGAGGCUUUGCCGAUUAGUGUCGGUGAUCGCGACGGCGCAUCCGCGCUGCGGCCUUUGGGGACACCUGGAAGCGCCGCUCACCGUCGGCCACGCGCACGUCGGUUUCGGGCUUUCGGUUGGUCGCAGUGGGCCGAGCGAAAGCCCGUCGUCGCGCACGACGACUAGCUCUAAGCUGUAGCUGAGCGGGUAGUUACUAGUGAGUACAAGUAGUGGUGAUCUAUGAUCUAUCAUCCGUGCCUUCUUAACUAACUCUAUGAUUGGCACGCGAUGGAGACUUGGAAUCCACGGCUGUUUGCCGCCUUUGAGCCAGCUUUUGGACAUUACUAAUGCCAACCCAUCAUAAUAUACUCCUACGUGGUUGGACAAAAAACAUUAAAUGUGAUGUAUGUUGCCGUGAACUAACGAUCUUUUUUUUAAGCAAUCAACUAACUACUCCGUAUAUAAACAUAUCAGGGGGAGGGGCGGAACAAGAGUGUCCGGUCUGCAUUCAACUAAUCAGGCAAUAACCAUUGAGGACCCGCAACUAAUCUUAACGUCAUGACUCCGUCAAGACACGCGCUCUUUUAGUUUGACAUGAAAAUGUGACACGCUCUUGAACAAACCCUGACUACUACAAUAUGGUUAGUGGCAGAAUUUGGAGGUCCUUGUGUUCUUUGCGACUUCACCGGCUGAUCGAUGGCAAGUAGCUUUCAUUUGGUUAGCUGCCACGAACUUUUAAAAAUGUGAAGUUACACAACAUUCACGUAACGGAUUGUACAAUAUUUGAGAUUAUGGGGUUGUUCGGUUCCACAACUUGUCAUAUUUUACCACACCUCAAUUUAAACAAGUUUGAUAAAGUUAGAUGUGCGUUUGGUUCUUGUCACAAUCAAGAUAAGAACUUUUUUUAUUAGCAGUAAGCCCCACAUGUCAUAGAUAUGAAAGUUUGACAAGAUUCCUUAUGGUAAGCCAAAAUGUGGCUAAAAAUUUGAGCAACUCAAGUGAGGCAUGUGUGGCAAAAGAUAGUCAUAACCCAAACAUACUAAGAAAUUGAGCGACUCAAGUGAGACGUGUGGCAAAAGAUAGNNNNNNNNNNNNNNNNNNNNNNNNNNNNNNNNNNNNNNNNNNNNNNNNNNNNNNNNNNNNNNNNNNNNNNNNNNNNNNNNNNNNNNNNNNNNNNNNNNNNNNNNNNNNNNNNNNNNNNNNNNNNNNNNNNNNNNNNNNNNNNNNNNNNNNNNNNNNNNNNNNNNNNNNNNNNNNNNNNNNNNNNNNNNNNNNNNNNNNNNNNNNNNNNNNNNNNNNNNNNNNNNNNNNNNNNNNNNNNNNNNNNNGUGUACUCGCACACGUUUAUGUAUCCUGGACUUCUGUGCUCAUGAUUUGGUAUGCAUUUGCAUGGUGAUGCUCCGACUUGCACGUAAGAGACGAUAUUCUUUUUAAUCUGAAAUUGUCCCCUUUUUUUAUUUCCACAUUUCUUACCACUAAAACGUCAGUUCUCCCAUGUCUUUUCUUCUAGAAGAACUGACUUCUUUAUAUUUUUGUUUCGUUUUGGCUCAAAGAUAAUGCAACAUCUUUCAAAGCCCAACUCGCUUUGCAAAUGGAGUACUCAAAUGUUCUUAUACAUUUCACAGGAGUUUUGUGUAGUAUAUAACACACGAUCAUUUAUAUUAUGUAACUAUAAUUUGAAUUCGAAUGGGAUGGAUGAUGAAACAUAAACAUACAACUUAAAUUCAUUUGUGUGUGACUCCAAAUGUAUAUGUUUGCCUAUUAUAAUGUGGUGUGUUGAUAUCUGUAACACUUCACUCAUGCGCAAGGCACGUGUAACUUACUAGUGUGAAAUUAGAGCAUCUACAAGCGAGGAUCUCAAAUUCUUCUCGUAUGUCUGGGUAGCCUGCCACGUCAAACCGGGUUCAUCCUGGACAAAUAGGGAUUUGAAACAAUUUGAGGGAGCAGUUGUGUGCUUGGACAAAAAGGGAUUUGAAUUGGACACGCCUAAACACUGUCAGUUGUCUUGACGGUCGUAUAGGGAAGCAUCGUUUUUUUUUUUUUUUUGGAGUAACAUGCAUGCUGCGUAUUUCUGCUUGUCCGAACAAAACGAGAUGUCCUAACAAAAUACCAUCUCGAGAGAAAUAGGCGAGCGUAGGUAUUAUUGGAAAGCGGUGGAAAAUACCCAAAUUGUGUUAGCAUUUCGUGUGCGACCGUGUUAGAGAGAGCACGUCCUAGAAAGGUAAAAUCCCCAUUUCCGUUGCGGUGUCACUGGUCCAUGUCCAGAUCAGAUCCAAGCGCCAUACACAUCAAACCAAAACCAGAUCUGACCAGCACAGCACAGUCCCAGCAAACAGUGCACGCGCGCAUGAUGAAAGAGACAGAUCUAUGAUUAAACAAUGAUGGAAUAAUACAAUGAGGGGUAAUAAUAAAAAUAUAAAUCAAAUCUCCUCAAUUUGGUACAGGAAGGGGGCAAGAAAGAAAGAAUCCGAGGCGGACGUGCGUGAGUGGGACUACACAGGAAGGAGAUGCCGGCCCGUCCGGCCAGUUAGAAAAAAUAGACACGAGAUACAGCACAAAAUGUGGUGGCAUGCACAGACACGGACGCAGACAGCUCGUCCGAAAGGCGCGGUGCAGCGGCCGCCGCAUGAUUGCGUGUCCUCGUGGCGGGCCUCGACAGGGCCGGGCCGGCCGGCUGGCCUCCCGCGUUCGCCGGCUUUGCUCGCCUAGGCGAGGAGGGCGAGGAGGCCCAGCGCCAUCGCGCACGCCGACAUGAUGUUCCCUGCCAUGCUCUGGAUCGCGCCCUGCAGUAACCAGGCAAAAAUUUAAUCGGCAGGUAAAAAUAACGUGUUUACUAGCAGGAGCAGUGUCGUGGAGGCUUCCGGAAUGCAUUGUUUACGGGCG
rnacentral:lncRNA from 1 species